rnacentral:rRNA from 1 species
CCUCUUGCAAAACUAAUGAAUAAGAGGUCCCGCCUGCCCUGUGACUAUAUGUUUAACGGCCGCGGUAUUUUGACCGUGCGAAGGUAGCGCAAUCACUUGUCUUUUAAAUGAGGACCUGUAUGAAUGGCACCACGAGGGCUUAGCUGUCUCCCUCUCCCAGUCAAUGAAAUUGAUCCCCCCGUGCCGAAGCGGGGAUAAAAACAUAAGACGAGAAGACCCUAUGGAGCUUAAAACGCCAGGACAGCUCAUGUUAAGCACCCCUAAAUAAAGGAGUAAACCAAGCGAAACCUGCCCUAGUGUUUUUGGUUGGGGCGACCGCGGGGAAAAAUAAAACCCCCAUGUGGAAUAAGAAUACCAUAUUCUUAGAUCCAAGAGCUCCCGCUCUAAUAAACAGAACUUCUGACCAACAAGAUCCGGCAAAGCCGAUCAACGGACCGAGUUACCCUAGGGAUAACAGCGCAAUCCUCUUAGAGAGCCCUUAUCGACAAGGGGGUUUACGACCUCGAUGUUGGAUCAGGACAUCCUAAUGGUGCAGCCGCUAUUAAGGGUUCGUUUGUUCAACGAUUAAAGUCCU